CUUUGUAACUAAUACAAGUUUCUGUGUAUUCAUUUGGGCCCUAACUCAGGCGGGCGGCUGGUGUAAAACUCACACGUGGCGGUGGGGCUCGGGCGGCUUUUGGCAGAAAGAUUUAUCAAAACAGAUCAGCGCUCAGGGGUUUCUGUGAGGCUCAGCGGUGGACAUAGAGACAAGCAGUUCCCUAUGAGCCGACACAGGAUAGCAACGAAUGCUUUCUGAUUGCGGUUGAAUAGGAAGGACAUGCCACCUUGCAAGUCAGGAGAUGCAGCCUCCAGCAGAAGGUCCCGUCUGGAGUGGCGUGAGAACUAAACAGGUCCUAGGCUUCGCAUGCCCCCAGAAUGGCCACUACGGAGGCUGAGGCUGGAAAGAGCACCGGGUGCCAGGAUGGGAACACUGCGUCGGUGGGGUGGUUGGCCAGGGUUUGGACUUUAAGUGUCUCCUAGAACCACCUAAGCAGGAGACCAGAGAGAGAGGAGAGAGGAAGGAGAGAGAGAGCCCCAAUCUUCACUGCCUUCCGGUUCCGGCCACACCUGAAGCCACGCCCAAAGGGGUGUGGCCACUCACAAAUACACUACAAAGGGCAUCAAGAUUGCCUGUGUGGAGGUGACGUGGCAACUGUCAGAAGGGGCCCUAAAAUGUCAGUUCUGUCACACAGUCACGUGACCAGUGGAAGAGGACAGCAGCCCUGGAGCCUGAGAGGCGCUGGGUAGUGCACCCCACUCUAAUGGGUGUGAACUCAGCGGGGGGGGGGGUCGGGGAGCACAGCGUGGGACCUGGGUGUGAGGAAAUUCCAGACGAGGCAGUGGGUGAUGCAGACAGUGUGGUGACUUUUUGUUUGUGAUCUAAUAAAGCUUGCCUGGAGAUCAGAGUGCAAAGCUAGCCACAGCCAUAGAGGCCAGG
rnacentral:lncRNA from 1 species